rnacentral:lncRNA from 1 species
UAGGAAAGAGAGAUGGAGGGAGGGCUAGCCAGGAAUGGAAGUUGCAUCCAUGAGAGAGAGAGAGAAAGAAGGGAGGAGCAUCAACAGUAGGAUUUGAUGGAUGUAUCAUAAGUGAGCGACAGAGAGAAGGGAGGGAUUAGAUUUAGCGGUUGCAUCCAUAAAAGAGAGAGAAAGAAGGAAGGGGUGAAAGGGAUUGAAAGAAGUGGAGGAAAAAAAAGAUGAGGGGAUUGGAUCUUAGAGGAGGAGAUCAAGCCAGCAAUGGUGGGAUUUGAUGAGUGGAAAUAUCGAUACCUAAAGAAAGAGGGUUGCAAAAAAAGAGAUUGGUUGUAGAACAAAGAUGGCCAUAUCUUGUCAACAAUCACUAGAUCUCAGCAAAGAUAUGCUAGAUUUGAAGAGAGAAAAAAGA